rnacentral:rRNA from 1 species
UACGGGGGGUGCGAGCGUUGUCCGGAAUCACUGGGCGUAAAGGGCGCGUAGGUGGUUUGAUAAGGGUGUGGUGAAAGUCCGGGGCUCAACCCCGGAUCUGCCGUGCCGACUGUCAAACUCGAGGGCUGUAGAGGCAGACGGAAUUCCGGGUGUAGCGGUGGAAUGCGUAGAGAUCCGGAGGAAGACCGGUGGCGAAGGCGGUCUGCUGGGCAGUUCUGACACUGAUGCGCGACAGCGUGGGGAGCAAACAGGG